rnacentral:rRNA from 1 species
GACGAACGCUGGCGGUGUGCUUAACACAUGCAAGUCGAACGGUAAGGCCCUUUCGGGGGUACACGAGUGGCGAACGGGUGAGUAACACGUGAGUAACCUGCCCUCAUCUCUGGGAUAACAGUCGGAAACGGUUGCUAAUACUGGAUAUGAGCUUGCAAGGCAUCUUGUGGGUUGGAAAGAUUUUUUUUGGUUGGGGAUGGACUCGCGGCCUAUCAGCUUGUUGGUGAGGUAGUGGCUCACCAAGGCUUCGACGGGUAGCCGGCCUGAGAGGGCGACCGGCCACAUUGGGACUGAGAUACGGCCCAAACUCCUACGGGAGGCAGCAGUGGGGAAUAUUGCACAAUGGACGGAAGUCUGAUGCAGCAACGCCGCGUGCGGGAUGACGGCCUUCGGGUUGUAAACCGCUUUCAAUUGUGACGAAGCUUUUUUGUGACGGUAGCAGUAGAAGAAGCACCGGCUAACUACGCG